rnacentral:lncRNA from 1 species
GACGACUUGAAAACUAGCUCCCACAGACUCACCUGAAAAGGGUUCUGCUGCGCGUUUCAUUGAACUGAAAGGCCAGAUCACCUAUGUGAGGCGGUGGGAAGCAUAUGGAGAUUGUAUUAGAACUUCAGCAAAGUGCACAGCUGCAGCCGGCAGAAGCCAGCUCUCUGGCUGACAAGCAAAGGAACCAGAUCGUGGACGGGGCCUCUGGGUGGCAGCUCCGGCCUUUUGGCUGUUGGACAACUAUAGUCAGAACUGAAAUGGAACAGGGGCAAGGAAAAAGCACACUUUUACUCCAUGCAACUGUUGCUUUCCCAUGGUUCCUUCCUGAUCCCUGAAGCAGUAAACUUCCGUACCAGUGAGCCUGCAUCUGCACUGGUCAGGACGGGGACACAUCAUGGCAUUCGUCUUUCCGCUGCCCUGCGGAAUUUAUUUGAAAGGAGAUUUAGCCCAUCCACACUAUGGACUCUCAAAGGCCUUUCCCAGGGAACACUGGUGUUUAUUACUUUCCUUUGUCUGAAAGAUGAGCAGGAACAAUGUUCACCUUCAUAGCUACUUGAGCUCUCCCUGAUCUGCCUCCUUUCAGAAAACAGAAGGCUUCCCAGGGACGUGAACAAAACAAGGUGUAACAAGCAGCAAUAAGACUGG